GUCGAGUAGUUUGGGAAUGCUGCUCAAAAUGGGAGGUAUAUUUCUUCUAAAGCUAAAUACCGGCCAGAGACCGAUAGCGCACAAGUAGAGUGAUCGAAAGAUGAAAAGCACUUUGAAAAGAGGGUUAAACAGCACGUGAAAUUGUUAAAAGGGAAGCGCUUGUGACCAGACUUGCGUCCGGUGAAUCACCCAGCUCUCGCGGCUGGGGCACUUCGCCGGCUCAGGCCAGCAUCAGCUCGCUGUCGGGGACAAAAGCUUCAGGAACGUAGCUCUCUUCGGGGAGUGUUAUAGCCUGUUGCAUAAUACCCUUCGGCGGGCUGAGGUA
rnacentral:rRNA from 1 species